GUCUAUGGCCAUACCAUCCUGAAUGCAUCCAUUCUUGUCUGGUCUCAGAAGCUAAGCAGUGUUGGGCCUGGUUAAUACUUGGAUGGGAAAAAGAUCUUCAGAGGAGACUGUUCAGAGACA
rnacentral:rRNA from 1 species